CACACCAAUGGAUAUAACACACACCAGUGGUUUACAAUACACACCAAUGGAAUAUAACACACACCAGUGGUUUAUAAUACACACCAAUGGGAUAUAACACACACCAGUAGUUUACAAUACACACCAAUGGGAUAUAACACACACCAGUAGGUUUACAAUACACACCAAUGGAUAUAACACACACCAGUAGGUUUAUAAUACACACCAAUGGGAUAUAACACACACCAGUAGUUUACAAUACACAGCAAUGGGUUAUUGGUGUGUACAUGUAUUGGCACCCCUCUACCCUGUCCAUCAGUGGGAUCUCUGAGCAGAUGUUAUUUGGGUGGUGAUGUGUUUUUUGUGUGCGUGUGUGCGUGUGUGCGUGUGUGUGUGUGUGUGUGU
ensembl:lncRNA